GGGCCCGCACAAGCGGUGGAGCAUGUGGUUUAAUUCGAUGAUACGCGAGGAACCUUACCAGGGCUUAAAUGCAGAACGACCGGGGUGGAAACACCCCUUUCUUCGGACGGUCUGCAAGGUGCUGCAUGGUUGUCGUCAGCUCGUGCUGUGAAGUGUCGGGUUAAGUCCCAUAACGAGCGCAACCCUAUUUCUAGUUGCCAGCGGUUCGGCCGGGGACUCUAGAGAGACUGCCUGCGCAAGCAGAGAGGAAGGCGGGGACGACGUCAAAUCAUCAUGGCCUUUAUGCCCAGGGGCUACACACGUGCUACAAUGGUAAGGACAAAGGGGCAGCGAGCCGGCGACGGUCAGC
rnacentral:rRNA from 1 species